rnacentral:rRNA from 1 species
CGCCUCUUGACAAACUUAUAAGAGGUCCAGCCUGCCCAGUGACUUUGUUCAACGGCCGCGGUAUCCUAACCGUGCGAAGGUAGCGUAAUCACUUGUUCUUUAAAUGAGGACUAGUAUGAAUGGCAUCACGAAGGUUAUACUGUCUCCUUUUUCUAAUCAGUGAAACUAAUCUUCCCGUGAAGAAACGGGAAUAGUAAUAUAAGACGAGAAGACCCUAUGGAGCUUUAAACAAAUAUACAAUUGCCCACUUAAUUAAAAAUUUCAGAAGAUAAAUACUUACCUAGGCACUUUGAUAUAAAGUUUUAGGUUGGGGUGACCGCGGAGCAAAAGACAACCUCCACAGUGAAAGGGGGGAUCCCCCUAAACUAAGGGCUACUACCCUAAGUAUCAAUAAACUGACACCAGUUGACCCAAUACACUUGAUCAACGAACCAAGUUACCCUAGGGAUAACAGCGCAAUCCACUUCAAGAGCUCCUAUCGACAAGUGGGUUUACGACCUCGAUGUUGGAUCAGGGUAUCCUAGUGGUGCAGCCGCUACUAACGGUUCGUUUGUUCAACGAUUAAAACCCU